AUAUAUAUAUAUAUAUAUAUAUAUGCCUUUCUAAGCCUGCCAGUAUAUUUGGCUUUGAACUGUGCUAUUCCAACAGUCAUUACUUUAACCCCAGCCCACAACGAUCCUUUAAAAAGGUUUAUGUUCAUAGUGAAUGGAAUGUUGACUUUGAAUUUAUGCAUUUGUAUUAAUGUCACAUACCAAUGGGAACAGUAAUUUACACAUAAACUUGCUAAAUAUGGAGAGACUAAAUUAAGUUAAUAAAUUAUAUGUAGCAAUGUAGCUAUUCUCUCUAGCUGGUGUCUCACAAUGGAUUUCUAUUGCUUGACAUAUUUUCUUAGUGAAAUUUGAACUAAGGCAGUGACUGGGAUUGGUCAUCUGGCUAAGUAUUUUGAAACACAUUUUGAAUAAUAUGGCUUGGUGUUAAUGGGGAAAUAAAAUCUGAUUUAUUUCUUACUCAUUCCAUCUUCCCUGUGCUGUGUGUUUGGAAUUGAUCAUAAAAUAAUCCCCAAAAGGAACAUCAGUUUGCAGCCUUACUUUGUAUUCAUUUUGACAUCCCAUUCAUACUCUGCACUGUGAAAUUGAUUCAGUGUACUAGAUAAGACCUAAAGGAAACAGUUAGCUUUUCUUUAAUGCUCUUUACAGAAUUUUAAAAAUAUACAUGUAUGUGCCUAAGUGGUAUUAAAAAAAUUAAUGAGCCUGACAAACCACUGAUUUACAGAGUGAAUGUUCUAAGAAAGAGGGAAAUAGAAAGCUCACAGUUCUGUGCAACAAGAAGUUAGGCUCCACUUUUUGGUUGGAUUAUCCAGUGUCGAUCCAAAAGUUAAAAUUUCCUUUCCAUAAAAUAAUUUUGAUCAUAUAGUCAACUCCUUUUCUCCCAUCAUAUCUGGGAAAGUAGCAAACUUUUAAUAAUUGUAUUCCUGUAAGUAUCAUAAGUAUCAUAGUUCUUUUCUGUGUGUAGAGUUUCUUUUCUCUGACUUUAGAUGUUAAAUUUGCAUUUCUGGGACAGUUCUUCAGUUAAAUUCUUAAGGCAUUUAACACUUUUGAACAUCAUAAUAAAAUUAAAAAUCUGUGAUUACAUUGUUGUUAUCAAGGACUCAUUAUGAUUUUAAACACAUUUACUGACUGAUGUCAAAUUCAUUUGUAAUAGAACCUAAUUAUUUUUUCCCUGGGUUUGUCUAUAUGAUGACAUCUUUUGCUUGAAGGCUUCCUAUAAUUUUAUUUGCACAGUUAAAUUCUACCCUUUGUAUGCUUUAUUUUUGAAUAGUUCUUGAAUGUGCUAAAGGUUUCUUGGUGUAGUUCUUCCAUGCUAUGCAAAAUGUUUCAGUAAAAGUAAUUUUCAUUUCUUGAAUGCAGCUAAUUGUUAAAUAAGCAGGUAUUACAGGUGUGUGUUGGCACAGCAAGUUUAGCAGUCUAUUGAGAUGGUCCAAAUGUAUUUUCUGGAAAAAUAUGCAUUGUUAGUAUACACUGUAAACCAGAAAACUACCAAAUGAAUCAAUCCACUUGAGAGUGGGAUUGCUCAUCCUAAAAGAUGUAAUUAGGAGCCUUACUCUUAACAUUUGGGGCUGCAUGGAUAUUUUAUGUGGACUGGGAAUCUAAUUAUAGCACUUCAGUUAUUUGAUUUUUCUGUUAAAUUUCUUUUUAUAGUACAAAGCUUCAUAUCAAGUGUGAUAACCUAAUAACUUAAGCAAAGAGAAAACUAAAUUUUCAUAAUAACCUAAAUUUCCAAAAGAUAAAUAUAAUUGAUAUCCUGAACUUAACAUCCAUGAAGAUUAGAAUGUCAAUGAUCUGAUACUGAUUCUAGGAUUAAUUAUAGCAUCAAAAUUCAAAAUUAAUAAGAUAUUCAUUUUUAAAUGAAAUUUUAUCCUGAUCUGCAUUCCUGCAAUAAAUAUUGGUAAAAGCAGUUUAUAAUUCCAUAAGUAAUAUAUUUACCACUUUAUUUUGGGUGGACCUCAUGAGAGGCAUUUGUGUCUUUUAUAACAAUUAGAAAUCUAUACUUAAACAUUGUAGUUUGUUACAGAUUAUAGGAAUCUCUCUUUUUAUGAUAAUGCCAAAGGAACCUUUCAUACAAAAUGGUGUUUAAGUAAAAGAACUUUCAAAGUCUCUAAGUACUUGCUCAUUUCAGUAUUGCUGGUUUUCCUUAGUAUCAGUGUCUAGACAAAAAUGUUAGUUUAUUUUUUUAAAAAGGCUUUAUACCUUGUUCUAGAAGUAAAAGGUUAAAUCAAGGAAUGAUAUGUCCUCCUAUGUUUCCCCCUACCUCCCUCAGAGAUAGACUGAGGGGAGUCAGAGGAACAAGGAAACCCCAGAGGUGAGGAAAUGACAGGAAUGGUCAUCACUGCGCCAGCCAGUGAGAUACCCCUUUACCCACUGCCAGUGAUUGAAUAGAAUCCUUUUGAUUUUUGAGGGUGAAUCCCUACUUAACUGUGCUAAAAAUGUCUCAUGUUUUUAAAACCAGGUGUGUAUUUAUAGCAAGAAAUUACUCUUGCCUUGAUUUGGGUAAUAUUUAAACCACUUUUAAGAUACUUGAUGCUUGUGGUUUUUUAAAUAUCAUUGUAUAAAACAAAUGCAGAUCUUGGAUUCUUGUUGUUGAGAUACCAUGCUUGUGAUUUUAGUAGUUUCUGAUAUCUGCUAUAGUCAGUUACCACAACCUUAGUGGCUAAAAACAACACAAAUUUAUUCUCCUAAUAGUUCUUGCGGUCAGAAACUCAAAAGCAGUUUUCCUAGAAUAAAGUAGGUUAUUGGUUCUUCCUAGAAACUCCAGGGGAGAAUCUGUUCUUGGCUUUUGCUGCUGGUGGCUGCUGACAUCCUUUGGCUUGUGGCUGCGUCAUUCCAGUCUCUACUUCAGUCAUCACAUUGCCUGUCUCCUGUAGUGAUACCUCUCUCUGCCUCCUUCUUAUAAGGUCACUUGUGAUUACAUCACAGGGCUCCCUUAAGUAAUCCAGGAUAAUGUUCCCAUCUCAGGAUCUUCAAUUACAUUGGCCAAGCCCUUAUGCCAUGUAAAGGAACAAUAUUUACAAGUUCUGGAGAUUGGGAAGUGAACAGUCUAGCGUUUAUUCAGCCUACCACAGCAGUCCUCUCAAAUUCACAUUGUUUAUCUCAAAAACUUCUUCAUGCUGUGGACUUAACAUUUACUCUGAUAGUGAUAACUUUUAUUUCCUGCAUGUUACCUACUUCUUUAUGCCUCCCAAUCACAUAUCCUUCAUUUAAAUCUCUGAAAAAGUUGAAAUUGAGAUCAUUUUCUGCAAAUUAUCAUUUACUGCAUACCCCUUGUAUCAAUCCUAGAGCUAAGUUCUUGACAUGAUCUUUUUUUUUUAAGGUAUCACUGAUAUACACUCUUCUGAAGGUUCCACAUGAGAAACACUGUGUUAUUACAUUCACCAAUACUAUCAAGUCCCCCCACUGCCCAUCAGCGUAGUAAGAUGCCACAAAGUCUUGACAUGAUCUUUUAGUUGAUACAUAAUACUGAUCAUUUUGUCGUUCGGAGACCAUGCUUACCAGUCUGGGAAAGAGUAGGAGAGAUGAAAGAGAAUAUGGAAGAAUGUUCUCCCAACCUCUUUAUACAUCGGGAAACAAAGGGAAGGUGUGAAACUACAGAUUCUGGGCCUCCCAACUUUAGAAACUGAUGUAAUUGAUUGGGAGUGGGAGGACCUGAAUCUGGGUUUUAAAAGCUUCAUGAGUGACUCUGAAUGUUGAUGUCAGUUUUGGAAACCCUCAGGAAAUUUAGGAAAUGAGGUAAAAGUUACACUUCUUUCAAACUAGUAAAUAGUAAUUGUAGCCAUUAUUUUCUAUGGGGAAGACAAAUAUGGCAAAAAUACUCACAUUUAUGGUAAAUUCCCAGGGGAAGGAGUAAGUUUGGGGCAUACCAUCAACUCACGGUUGCAGAGGAUGAUGAAGGCUCCUUAGCUGAUCCUCUGCCUCUUACCAGCUUUCUUGGCAGUUACCUUGUUUUUUAAAUGUAAGAGUCUAUUUGAGAUGUUGAAUCUCACAAUUUAAUGACAUUUAAAAGCUUGUUUUAUAAUGAGACAUACUGUUUGUGAGAGCCUUUAACUGGAAUUGAGGACACUUUUGUAUUUUUGGUUUGAUUUGAUUGAGGGAAAUCAGGUAAAUUCUAAUAAGUCUGUGAUGUUUUGGUUGCUUACAAAGUGAGAAUGCUGCUGCUGCUAUUGCAGAAUUUCCAAGUGCAUCUUUGGUGGAUAUGGUUGGAUAUAGAGGAGGUUGCUUUUUAGCUUUUCUGAGGACGUGAGUAUGCUCCAAACCAGCUUGUCUGGCAUUCUUAGGGCACUUAGGAGGGAAAGUAAUUUUUUGCCAUCAGGUUUCUGCAGUUUUGGUUAGCAUAUUCUAGACUGAGGAGCAUAUUUAUGUGUUUGAAGGCAAUACAGAUACUGAAUCCAGCCUUCAUAUCACCAGUCUUGAAUCACUUGGGUUUGCUUUAUUUUGGGAACUGAAUCUAAAACAGGAGAUGGCAGCCUCUUAGCAUAACUAAAAGGGCCCUGAGUUGAGCCUCCCUCUUGUCCUUUUGUUUUAUAGAUUUAAGAACAAAACAAAAACCCCAUCAGGAAACCAAGGCCACAGAAAUUGAAUGACUGUUCAGAAUUCCCACAGAUAGUGCAGAGCUGGGGGCUCAAAUCUUUGAACGUUAUGGAAGUUAAUGUAAAAGAGAUGAGAAGAAGAGAAAAGUUCAUCUGAUGGGGGCUAGGAAGCCAGCAGCCCAGCUCCUAUGAUUACUCAGUAGUACCAGUACUGCAUAAGAUGCACCAUCAGGUAAUCUCCAUUCUUAAAACAGCCAAGUUAAGUUGCAUUUUAGAUGGGAUUCUCUAGUUGGGCCCUAAAGUGCUUUUUGGAGACUGAAUCUAAAACAAGUUGACAGCCUCUUAGCAUAACUAAAAGGGCCCUGUUGUGCUAGUAUUUAACAAAUCCCAAGGAAAUUAACAAUUGCAGUCAUUUUCUAAGUCUCAGAGUAGGUUUGAUUUUGAGAGUUGUGUGAAAUCUUUUCAUCCAAUAAAGUAUGUGGUAUAUCAGUGGGGAUGUUUGGGGGUUUCCAAAACCCCCAAUUUAUUUCCAGGGCAUAUUUUAAUCACUGUUGUGAUUUUGGCUGAUUAUAAGCAGCCCCUUCUCCUGCUUACAAUUCUAAAUUAAAAACAGGCAGUCAUCAAUUGGCUAAAAUCCGAUUUGCCUUUAGCUUUCACUACUAGCUAAUUUACAAGUAUGCCAAAAGCUUCACAAUGUACCCAUUCUUCCUCAGGACUUCCUGUACAACUGAGACAGGGACCAUGGGUGUAGUCAGAGUAGGGUGAGGGCCUGGGGUGGGGGGUGGGGCAGAAUAUUUACAGUCAGAGCAGUGUAACAAUGGGCGAAGAAGUCCCCAUUGAAACUCUGUUAAGCAUUAUGCAAAGUCAAGGUCACACUAAUUCUCUAGGGGAAGAUACCUAAGAAUAUAGGGAUAUUCAGUGAGAUCAGUUAAAGGUCAAAAGGCCAGGAGCAACUUGGCCUGGAAUGUUUGAGUGUUCUGCAAGGGUAUCAGCAUAACCUGUGACCCCGCUGUCACCCCUAGCAAUCAGGCUAUGACCCAGCCCACCUUGACAGGGCAGGUGAUGCAAGUCCACACCCCUAAGUUUUUUUUGUUCUGGAAAAAUCCUCAACUGCCUAUAAAACCCCCUAGACAACGCACCACUAUGGACUCUCUUGUGCCCUCCUGGCAUGAGCCAGGAGCUCUAUUCUCCCACUUUAUCUCUAAAUAAAAGCCUGUACCUUGCUCUCCUACCUUGACUGUUUGUGAAGCUCGUUCUUUGGCUUCGUGAACAAGAACCUCGGCAUCACAACCAAACGCUAACCUGAUAGAUUUCUCAAAUUGUACCUAAAUGCUCUUCAUUGAGUCAGAAUUGUACAUUGCAGUCAUUGCUUAGCCCUAGCUGCCUCUGUUUACGUAUAAGGUGGUUUUAUAUAAAACAUGAAAUUUCAAAUCACCUUGCAAAAAUUCAGUCAAUGAUAAUGUAGAUCCAGUUGAGUGAAUAAAUCGAGAAAUUUUAAGCUAUUAAUGCAGGUGACAUUAUAUUUCAUGAAUGGUUUCUCUCAAACCUUUCUCCUGAUAAGCAUACAUUUGCAUCUGUCUAGUUAGGUAAGUGAAUGAAGCAUUUUGAGGACUACUGAUCUUGGAAGCAAAUUAGAAAAUCAGCUUUGGAUAACUGUAAACAGCACAGCAUUCUGGAAGCUAGAAAUGAGACUACCGGACAAGAAAGAGAAUGUGAUGUUUGUGACCUUAAAAGAGGAAUAAGGGGGAAGUGUGUCUAGAUUUUCAACUUCUAUGUAAAUUUGGAAUACUUAAAAUGUAUAGUUUUUCAAUUCUACAUUGUAAUGUUACUUUGUGACAAAUAUCUCUAUAAAGUUAAAAUUUUUCAGUGAGUAGCACAUAAGUUGUGUUUUAUAAUAGCUCAUUUUAAUGUCCUGUCAUGUCCAGUUAGAGAUAAAGAGGCUAUAAGUCCUGCAACACCCCCUAUUAAAACAUCCUUUUUCCUCCUUAUUCACAUUAAUAAGUUUUUUCUAAGUUAUAUUCACAGUUAUAUUUUUUCUAAGUUCAUUUAGCAAUGGUGCUGUAUUUAUGUAUAGUGAUUGUAAACAUCUGAACAUAGGUAAAUGCACUGAUACAACAGUAAAAACUAAUGAUUUGGGGGAGUUAGAUGAGCGUGAUUUUUCAAAAAGCAUGGCUUGGGGCAGGGGAAAUGUAGUAUGGUGCAUGGCCAAAUGAGCUUGUUGUCGGUGAGAGGAUUAUGGAUGGAAUGAAUAGGGUUUACAAUUUUUCAGUAAGAUGCCAACUUUUAGGGCAAAGGACUAAGUCCUUGUUAUUUUAAUUAAAUACCCAAAUAGAGAGCAACCACUGUGAGAAGAACCCACUAGUACAGAGUGAAAAGCUCAGAUUUAGCAGCAUCAUAGCAAGUAGAAUAUGACCAUACUGAUUGGCGUCAGGUUUCUGAGGUGUUAGGAGAGGUCACAGUCUGUGAAGUGAUGUGUUGAGUGUCAGCAUGGGGGGCGGGGGCUCUCAGUGUGCUUUUCCAGCUGUCAAGGCCCUCCCACUCCAAGGCAUCACUUCUGCUGCUGCUUCUCAGCGCCACUCAUUUGCAGGAACUCACUGGGACCCUAGAGCUCAUACGCUUGCUCAGAAAUAAAAAUCAUUACUCAGGUAGAAUCAGAAUGGAGUGUAAAAAGGGGCCAAGACAGUGGCCUGGAGAUGUAGUGAUUAUGGUGAAAGGGAAGCCAGGUGGAAGGUGACAGGAACAGUCUUCUUGAUGAAAACACUCAGUCAACCUACAGGAGAAGAAUUUUUCAUUCUUGUGAAUCCCUUAUUGCCUACUCUCCCAGAGCCCGUGACACCCUAUGUCUACGGAUAAGGACCCAUCUGUGCCCCCAGUCUCAGGUCCUGACACGGCUAUCUGCUGCUCUGCACGGUCUGAAAUCCUUUGCCCUGAACUGCUCAAUACCUUAAAAUCAGGCAAUUUUAAGAUUUUUGUAGGCACCAGAUUCCACCCCACAGAAGACCAAGUAUAUUAAAAUUAGCUCCAUUUCACAUUAAAUACAGUUUUUCUAUUUAAAAAAUACAAAUUUGAACACCAUUUUGUAAUUGGUUUUAAGAAAUGGGCUCUUCUUUGGUCAUUUACAAUCGGCUAUGGUUUCCCAUCAGUCAUCAGAUAUUCUUUGGAAUUCCUUUGAAGUGAGAAAGACUAUAAGUUAUUUUUUAAAUUAAUAUUUUUAUGAAUAUGAAAGGAAAUAUAUUUUAUAGUGAUUUAAAUAUUUCAGUUUUGCAGUUUUUAUAUUUUAGAGCUAGCGUAUUUUUUUAAUUGGUCUCAAACCUUUUCUGGGACCAUUGAAAAGUUCAUAGAUCCUCAUGUUUAAAAUGAUCUGCUUGUAAUUUUAUUUUAAGUUUUAUUUAAACACAUGCUAGUCUUAGAAAUAUUAUCACUUAUCAAAUGUCAUUUGCUCAGGGAAGCCUCGAGUAUAUUAGGUUUGUUGUAUAUUACAUGUUAUAUAUAUGUAUGUUUUAUGCUGUCCUAGCAAACAAUUCUACAGUUAUAAAUUAUUUCUGUUACUAUUCAUCUACUGUCUUUCUCCUCUGCCAGCCUAUUGCUUUCAUAAGGGCAAGACUGUGUCUGCUUGCACUCUAAUCUCUGGCAUGCCAUCUGACCAAAUGUCAUAAAUAUUUCUGAAAUGAAUGGAUGUUCUGUUUCCUGAAGAGCACCUCUUCACUGACAGCCUGAUUACUGAAAACUAAAAAGCAUUCUUCAAAUAUAUCCUCCUCCUCCAACUUUUAUUAAGGCUAUCCAUGCCUGUGGCCAUAGCAGCGUGGUCUUCUGUAGACAUGCUUUCUUCUUGGCGCUUGGCAUCUUGUCCGUGGCUCAUCUGCAGACCCUGUCAGCUACCUAAUGUACUUGGCAAUGUCAUGAAGAAUCUUUUUAUUAACCACAUAGAAAUAUAUUUAAAUGUUUGUGGAUAUUAAAUUCAAAUUUUAAAGAUGCCCUGUGUUUUUUCUGGAGUUUCCCUAGACAUAAUCUUGUUCACCACACUAAAAAAGAAUUUUCAAACUUAAAAUAAGACUUAAAAUUAAUGGCUUCAAUUUAUUGAGCAUCUAAUGAGGUGUCAGGAACUGUGCUAAAUACAUUCCCACAUUAUUCCACUAAUCCUUGUUAUUUAAUUUGUUAUCAUCGCCAUUUCACAUACCAGUAAACUGAGCUUUGAAGUAGCUGUUCAGUGUUCACAGAACCACAUAGUAGGGCCAGGAUCUGAACUCAGUCCUGGUUAUAAAACUUAGUCGUCUCCAUUUUGCUAGGCUACUCAUACGUUUCUGAGCAUUGCUGUUACCCAUCUUCAGUGUAUAAAGCCUUUAAUUCUUGUGAGUGGGAUUGUGUUGGACAGUAUGUUGGAGUGGAGAGGCUUAAGCAAAUAAGGUUUUGCUUUUCUCUGUAACACAACCAGAGGUCUGCAGUCCUGGGCUAGUGCAGCAGCUCCAGGUCCUCCAAAGGUGUCUCAGACUCCUUCUGUCUGUGGAUCCCGCCAUCCCUGGGGCAUGGCCUCCACCCUCAAGGCUAUCUCAUGGCUACCCCUUCAGGGUCCACACACUGUCCAAUAUUGGGUAUUAUCAAUCAUUUAAAAAUUCUAAAUGAGAAAAAGACAUCUUUUUUGUUUGUUUUGCAGUUUUUUAAUUAGCUCAAAUCUUCUUAUGUUCAUUGAUUGAUUCAUGUUUCUUUUUUAAUAAACUAUUUGUGUCAUU